rnacentral:rRNA from 1 species
AUUGAACGCUGGCGGCAGGCCUAACACAUGCAAGUCGAACGAGAGGCGGACUGGUGAGUGGUGUAUGGGGAUCUGCCUGAUGGAGGGGGAUAACUGCUGGAAACGGUAGCUACUACCGCCUACCAUCAGUUGAACCCAUAUGGGAUUAGCUUGUAGCUGUGGUAACGGCUCACCUAGGCGACGAUCCCUAGCUGGGCUGAGAGGCUGAUCAGCCACACUGGGACUGAGACACGGCCCAGACUCCUACGGGAGGCAGCAGUGGGGAAUAUUGGACAAUGGGCGCAAGCCUGAUGCAGCCACGCCGCGUGGAUGAAGAAGGCCUUCGGGUUGGAAAGUACUUUUAGUCGGGAGGCGGUACCGACAGAAGAAGCACCGGCUAACUCCGUGCCAGCAGCCGCGGUAAUAC